rnacentral:lncRNA from 1 species
GGCCUGGGCCGGGAAAGCAAGCCCCUGGUACAGGCAACACCUGCAGAGCGGAAGGGAGUGGGAGUGAGGAGGGAAUCGAGUGCUUCCGGCAGUGCUGGCUAAAUGGUGGAAGGCGCAAUGGAGCUUCUUCCUCUUACCCUCAGCAAGAACUUCAGGAACUGCUCCAGCUGAGAUCGGGAGUGGAAACAGAAAGACAGAGAGGAAGGGAAGGAGGGAGAUGGAGCAUAACUGUGCUAAUAAAAAGGGAGCCCUGAAAAGGACUCAAAACUUCCUCCUCAUUCCCAUCCUGUCACUUGCAGCAGAAACUAUUGCCUUGGGACUUGCCAGAGACCUGAAGAUUCCUGAACUCAAGCCUUGAGGGCCAUGCUGUGAGAAGCUGAAGCCGCUGGAGAGGUCCCUGUAGAAGUGCAGAGACAGAGAGGAGCAGAGGACCCAGGAGGCACCGGAAGCAGGUGUGAGGAACCAUCUUGUAAGUGGAUCCUGCCCCACAUGACACUGUGAGAUUCAGAGAUGAAUGGCCCAGCCAAUUUCUUCCCAAAUUCCUAAACCAUACAAUUGUGAGCUAAAUAAAACUGUUGUUUUAAGUCACUA